rnacentral:rRNA from 1 species
UACGAGAGGCGCAAACGUUAUUCGGAAUUACUGGGCUUAAAGAGUUCGUAGGCGGCGCAGAAAGUAGGGUGUGAAAGCCCUCGGCUCAACCGAGGAAUUGCGCUCUAAACUACUGUGCUUGAGGGACCUAGAGGUGAGCGGAACUGAUGGUGGAGCGGUGAAAUGCGUUGAUAUCGAUAGGAACUCCGGUGGCGAAGGCGGCAUACUGGACCACAUCUGACGCUGAGGCGCGAAAGCCAGGGGAGCGAACGGG